rnacentral:lncRNA from 1 species
CAACUGGAGAGAACAGUAAACUCCUUGAAUGUCUCUGCUAUAAGUAUUCCAGAACACGAUGAGGCAGACGAGAUAAGUGAUGAAAACAGAGAAAAGGUGAAUGACCAGGCAAAACUAAUUGUGGGAAUCGUUGUUGGUCUCCUCCUUGCUGCCCUUGUUGCUGGUGUCGUCUACUGGCUGUACAUGAAGAAGUCAAAGUGAGUUGUGGAAAAAAGAUCUUCAUCGUUCAUUGACUUUCACUGGGAGAAAAUACAAUGUGCUAAUUUUGCUCACUCCAGUCGUGCAUAUAAUUUAUACAAUAAGGAAGAUGUAUCCCCAAAUCAGGUUGAUUAUAUAUUUUGUUUCAACUAAUUUUGACUACACUGCCUUUGUCAGGGACAUGGCUUGGGAUACUGUUUCACAUGUGUCCGUUUAUUUGUCUCAAUCAAUAGCCUGAAUUCAAUUAUUUGAUUUUUUCAGUGCUUGAGUGAAUUUUUUAAAGCGUAUACUUCCUAAAGGUCAACAACCAUAGACUUUUUGGUUGAAGUUGGAGAAGAUUCAUUAAAAGUACCUAGUACAUCUUGUAGGGACUGCCAGGUGUCUUUGCAGUGACACAUCUGGCCAGCAAUGAAACUGCUGCUGAGGUAGGAAUAUCUUAUUGUUAUUACUCCCAUAUUCUAGUUAGUUGACUUUGAUCCAUAUAAGAGUCUAUAUCAGAGAAAAUCAUGUCAUUAUGUCAACUUGAGUUUUUAAAAAUGGAUUAAAGUACCAACACUACAUUAAAAAUGCUUUAGAGAUGUUAAA